rnacentral:lncRNA from 10 species
CAGAGGUUUCCCAAUUUAGCCUGAGGCAAAAAGCAGUGAAGAAAAAUGAUCUCAGUUGAACAAGCCGUCCUUGCAAUGGCGUGGCUAAUUCUGAGGGCAGUUUGACUUUUACAAGCAUCAUGCAGUGAUUCCCUAGGGAAUGUGGGCAUUCAGGGAGCCUAAAGUUAAGCCGUGGGUGGGCACUAUUGGCUCCCAGGCAUUUCUAAGCGGAAGCAGCAUCCUGAGGAAGUCAGUCUGUUUGAGGAUUUUCUCAUGCUUUGUCCUUUCCAAGCCUUAAACGUCAUUGUGUAUUCGUGCAGCAGAAACACACCAGAUAGAAAAAGCUGGGAGCAAAACGACCUAACAAGGGGCAGAAACAUCAAGGGGCAUGACAAUGCCACAAGACCUGAGACAGAAUUUCCAGAGUGACUUUACAUUCUGAAGAUCCACCCAGGCUCAGGGGACUCCUCAGCUCUACUUAUGGUUUUUGUACUGAAAAGCCAAAAGUGUUCCUAGACCAUUUUUCUUUGUGAUUUGACAUCACCUCCUUCGAGACAAUGAGGAUACCCUGGCAGAUAUCUGCUAGAGUUGAGAGCAAGAGGAAAACACAGAUGCAGAGGGAAGAAGCAUGCAUGGGUUAAUAUGUCAAAAAUACCACAUUUCCAUGCACAGCUGUGUCAGGCUUUCCCAGGGAGGAAACAUGGCCAGCUGGGACACUGUAUCAUUGCCUCACUAGGAGUCCAUAUUUCCAAGCCAUGGGAAUAUUCUAUCAGAGAGACGUGAGAGAGUGAACAGACCACGAGGGAUGCAUAUGCUGCUGUUCCUAGACCACAUGCCAACCCAGCCGAAUGGCAGAGACUUGGAGCAGAGAUGUAGAGAAUGUUGGAAUAUCCCAUAACAUUCAACGCCAUGAAAGGAAGAGACGCCAGGAUGGACUGGGAUGGAAAAAUCCACUGGCCACAGAAGUAAUGGAACCACAGGGCUGGGGGAGAACUUGAGUGCACCUAUCAAAAUGGGGCUCAUUUCAGAGCUGACAAAAGGCUGAGAGAAUCUUGAGAGGAAGAGAAGGGGGAGGAGGAAGAGGAGAGGACGGGUGAUAGGGGCCAGCAGUACGCAGAGAACCACGAAAGCAGGGCUGGGACUUCAGUGGCUGGGGCUAAUGGAAAACAGCUAAAAGGUGAAGGACAGCAGCGAGGGCGGCUCCCAGGAAGCGUGUGCCCUGCCGACUGAAUGGCUCACAUUCAAUGGUAAGGUUGGCACUGCAGCGGCUCCCUGCUUUACAACAAGGGACUCAGUACAGAAGAAAGUCACUGGGAAUGCGGAGAGAAGAGAAAGACCAUACAUCCAUCCCACCCUAGACCCUGUUUUUGGAAAGAAAACCUUUCCUUAUCCUUUUUCUGGAUGGUAGUAGCCAAUCUUAUCCAAAAUAAACGAAUGAAGAAUCAAGCAGGAUGAGCUGCCUUCUCGGUGCCUGAGCAGGCAGGCAGCAACAAGAACUUCAUUUAAUAAGCUCAAGGUUUGUAGUUAGUAUGUGAACUACCUAGAGAUGGUUUUCAAUUGUUUAGAGUAUUUUAUUACUGUAAGUAGGUAGAUAUUCUACCACAUUUACACUAUUAACAGAGCCCCUUUCUUUGGAGAGAAUAAAAGUAAAUGUUAGUUAAUGCUUCCAACCCAAAUCUCAAAUUUGGUAAUCUGCACACUUUUCCUUCUCUUUGUACUAUUUCCAUUAGCAUGAUACGCACCUAUGACCCAUAUCACAGCGCAAUCAUCACGCAUGUCACUAAGAUAUACUGCAUGCUUUGAGAAUAUGCGGGAACUGAUGCCAAAUGGUAUUUGUAACUAGCUAGUAAGGGGUUUGCCUCUGGAGCCCAGUUACUCAACUUCUGAAAAUCACUUCCAUGUGAGGCAGGUUUGGGGGCCGAGUUUGACAGGAGGGGAGAGAGUCAGCCAGUAAUCUGAUCUCAAAAGAAAUUGUCACAAUUAUCACCUAUGCCGGUGGUCCUGGCCCGGGUUCACACUGACCAGGAACAGAGAAAGAAUCCACUGCUCUCCUUCGUGUUCUCAGAGGCAUGGAUGGGGUUUCACAGAUGUAAUUAAGGUCCCAAAUCAGUUGACAAGAUAGGGAGGGUGCCUGGUGGGCCUCACCAGCCCCACGAGCUUUUCACACCUGGGUGUAGAGGCCCGAGGUGGAGGGGGUCUGAAGUGGAAGGAACAUGAGAUUUCCGUGCGCCACUGCAGACUUAAAGAUGGGGGGGCCACAUGCAAGGAAGGGGCCUCCAAUUGCAGAGGGCACCCCCAUCUGACAACUAGCAGAGAAAUGGGGCCUUCAACCCUACAGCUACAGGAACCAAAUUCUGCCAGGCACGAGAAAGAGCCUGGAAACAGAUUUUCCCCCAGAACCUCCAGACGAGAACUCAGUCCAGCUGACACCGUGACCUCAGCCUUUAUCCUGGGCAGAGAACUUAGCCAUACCGUGUGGAUUUCUGAUCUACAGAAACUGUGAGAUAAGAGAUGCUUCACGGUCAUAAAGAUGAAAAUAAUAGGCACUCAGGACUCCAAAAGUGGACAGUAUGGGAGGACAGCAAGGGCUGAAAAGUUACCUGUGGGUACAAUGUUCACUGUUUGAGUAUUGGGUACACUAGGAGCCUAGUGCCCACCAGUAGGCAGUAUACCCAUGUAACAAACAAGCAUAUGUGUCCCCCCAAAUCUAAAAUAAAAUAAAAUAAAAUAAAAUAAAAUGGAAACAGAUCCACAGAAACAGUUGAGAAAGAAGAGAGAAG